UGGGGAAUAUUGCACAAUGGGCGCAAGCCUGAUGCAGCAACGCCGCGUGAGGGACGAAGGCCUUCGGGUUGUAAACCUCUUUUAGUAGGGAAGAAGCGAAAGUGACGGUACCUGCAGAAAAAGCACCGGCUAACUACGUGCCAGCAGCCGCGGUAAUACGUAGGGUGCAAGCGUUAUCCGGAAUUAUUGGGCGUAAAGAGCUCGUAGGCGGUUUGUCACGUCUGCUGUGAAAACUGGAGGCUCAACCUCCAGCCUGCAGUGGGUACGGGCAGACUAGAGUGCGGUAGGGGAGAUUGGAAUUCCUGGUGUAGCGGUGGAAUGCGCAGAUAUCAGGAGGAACACCAAUGGCGAAGGCAGAUCUCUGGGCCGUAACUGACGCUGAGGAGCGAAAGCAUGGGGAGCGAACAGG
rnacentral:rRNA from 2 species